rnacentral:rRNA from 1 species
UGGAUAACCUGCCCUCGGCACCGGAAUAGCCCGGGGAAACUCGGAUUAAUGCCGGAUAGCCCCACAGCCCGCAGGGGCGGUGGGAAAAGGUAGCUUCGGCCUCUGGCCGAGGAUGGGUCCGCGGCGGAUUAGCUAGUUGGUGGGGUAACGGCCCACCAAGGCGACGAUCCGUAGCUGGUCUGAGAGGACGAACAGCCACACUGGGACUGAGACACGGCCAGACUCCUACGGGAGGCAG